rnacentral:rRNA from 1 species
UACAUGGGGUGCAAACGUUGCUCGGAAUUAUUGGGCGUAAAGCGCACGUAGGUGGUCUGUUAUGUCAGAUGUGAAAGCCCUCGGCUUAACUGAGGAAGUGCACCUGAAACUGGCAGGCUUGAGUACGAAAGAGGGUCGCGGAAUUCCCGGUGUAGAGGUGAAAUUCGUAGAUAUCGGGAGGAACACCGGUGGCGAAGGCGGCGCACUGGACCACAACUGACGCUGAGGCGCGAAAGCUAGGGGAGCAAACAGG